rnacentral:rRNA from 1 species
AUGGUGGAGCUAGAGGAGCCAGUUGGUCUCUGUGACUUGCCAGCAACUGACCCUCCUAAUACUAAGAGAAAGAAGGGGAGGGCAAUAAAGGAUUUUUCAGAGUGGAUAGAGAAAGAGCCUCCCGUGAAUUGGUCUUUGUUGCAUGACACCCAUGGAGCUAGGUAUGGCCACAUGACAACCAACCUUGCAGAGGUGUAUAACUUUGUACUCAGAGGGAAUAGAGCAUUGCCACUCACAGCUAUUGUGGAGGCUGUAUUCCAUGGCACUUUGAGAUAUUUCAGAGACCGACACGAGUUAGCAAAGAAGCAUAUUAUAGAUAAUCAGAACACACCUUACUGUAGCCGUGUCAUGGAGUAUAUGGCAGAGAAGAUAGAGAAAGCAAAGAAGCACACUGUGAGACUCGUAGGUAAUCAGGAAAGGAGGUAUGAGGUUCAGCUACCUACCGAUGGUUUUGGUUCUGCGAAUGAGGUGAAGACGCAUGAGGUAAAAACUGGAACGGGAUUUUAUCCAACGUGUGAGUGUACAUGCAACAAACCAAAGUUGUUGCACCUGCCUUGCUCACAUGUGUUGCCUGCCUGUGGCCAGAUUGAGUUGGUUGCCGUCUCCUUUGUGUCGCCAUACUACUUAAAAGAGGCUGUACUGAACACAUGGACCGGUGAGAUGACAGGGUUUAGAGUCGUUGGCAAUUUCAACAAGGUUAACGACGGUGAGAGAGUAUACAUCCCGGAUCCAGAACUUCGGCGAACAAGCAGGGGUCGACGUAAGGCCCGUCGAAUCCGAAAUGAUAUGGACCAAUCUGAAGCUGGUGGAGCAACCAGACAAUGUUUGCUAUGCGCGGCUUAUGGGCAUAGAAUGAAAUAU